UUCAGGGGUAAACCUGCGAAACUCGAAUGAACGAACGGAGAGAUUCAUCGUCAUUCCGGGGCGUACUGUGGCGCGCCGCGAUGCACCGGUCGUCAUUGUCGACGUACUCGGACGGCGUGCACUUCUCUCUUAGUAUGCAUCGCGACCCGUUCGCGGUCUAAGCGACGCCCGGGAGCCGGGCGGCCGGACGGUAUUGAAUGAAACGCGCACGCGUCUCGACGCGUCCGGCCCGACGCGAGCGACGUCGUCCUGCCAGUGUGCGGAAGUUGACGCGACGCCGCUGCUGUCGCAGCCGUAGUCUCGGACUGUGCGCGUGUCAGUCGGCGAUGUUACAGUUUCGGGCACUCGCAGGACCCGUCUUGAAACACGGACCAAGGAGUCUAGCAUGUGUGCGAGUCAUUGAGUUAAAACUGAAAGGCGCAACGAAAGUGAAGGCGUGCGCCGCGCGCUCAGGGAGGAUGGAGAAUCGAUCUCUCGCACUCCCGAGGCGUCUCGUUUCCAAUUAGCGAAUGCAGGCGCGCUCUGAGCACAGAUGCUGGGACCCGAAAGAUGGUGAACUAUGCCUGGUCAGGUCGAAGUCAGGGGAAACCCUGAUGGAGGACCGUAGCGAUUCUGACGUGCAAAUCGAUCGUCGGAACUGGGUAUAGGGGCGAAAGACUAAUCGAACC
rnacentral:rRNA from 1 species